rnacentral:tmRNA from 1 species
GGGGGCGACAUGGCUUCGACGCCGGUGACAACCCCUAAGGUGCAUGCCGAGAGCGUAGCGUAUCUCGUAAAUCCAACGCUGCGAAAAAAUAGUCGCAAACGACGACAACUACGCUCAGGGCGCUCUGGCAGCUUAAAACCUGCCGGUAGUUAGCCUGGCCCCAACGCGAUGUGCCUGUUCAUCGCCGAGGGGAUACGAGCUAAAGCUAACAGGAUCGCGGUUGGUGGCGUCUUCACGCCAACCGUUAAACUCUCUGAGGAAUCGCGGUGAUGGAUCCUGUUCGUCGGAGCCAUCAUCGUUAAAUCAAACGACGAAACUAAGCAUGUAGAGCCGAAGGGCGAGUGCCGGCGGACGCGGGUUCGAUUCCCGCCGCCUCCACCA